UGUAUCUCUUUGAGCAUAUUGUGGGUUUCCUGUGUUGAAUUCCUAUUUGAUGGUAUCGUUUUGGCCGAUCGAAGUCCCGUUUCAUCUUGUGUUGCCUUUGUGAUUCGAGAUGAACUUUGAAGUAGUCUGUAUGUUCCACUAUGUUGAUGCAAAUGCAUCGAUGUUGUGGCCCAUUGAGCGUUGCUUGGUAUCCUGGAUACGGAACAUUAUGUAGGCAUGGGGUCUCUCAUGGCCCUUAUUUUGUCCUCGUUUAGUGUUCUUCGAAACGACAUUUCAUGCGCGCCUAGGCUCGUACCUGCGCGAUGAGCUUUGUCUAAGAGGAAUGCUACCUGGUUGAUCCUGCCAGUAGUCAUAUGCUUGUCUCAAAGAUUAAGCCAUG
rnacentral:misc_RNA from 1 species